rnacentral:rRNA from 1 species
UACGGAGGGUGCAAGCGUUAUCCGGAUUCACUGGGUUUAAAGGGUGCGUAGGUGGGCUGGUAAGUCAGUGGUGAAAUCUCCAGGCUUAACUUGGAAACUGCCAUUGAUACUAUCAGUCUUGAAUACCGUGGAGGUCAGCGGAAUAUGUCAUGUAGCGGUGAAACGCUUAGAUAUGACAUAGAACACCAAUUGCGAAGGCAGCUGGCUACACGAAUAUUGACACUGAUGCACGAAAGCGUGGGGAGCAAACAGG